rnacentral:rRNA from 1 species
UACGGGGGGGGCAAGCGUUGUUCGGAAUUACUGGGCGUAAAGGGCUCGUAGGUGGCCAACUAAGUCAGACGUGAAAUCCCUCGGCUUAACCGGGGAACUGCGCCUGAUACUGGAUGGCUUGAGUUUGGGAGAGGGACGCGGAAUUCCAGGUGUAGCGGUGAAAUGCGUAGAUAUCUGGAGGAACACCGGUGGCGAAGGCGGCGUCCUGGACCAACACUGACACUGAGGAGCGAAAGCGUGGGGAGCGAACAGG